GUUGAGGUCUAUCCCGGUGGGGCUUUUUCUGUAGCCAUACAUCGUUGGAAACGCCUCAUAGAGUAACAUUGUGGUUUUGCUUUCCUCACAGGACUAUUUGUUAGAUCUGUGGGAAGAAACUACCAGACAGUU
ensembl:snoRNA